rnacentral:rRNA from 1 species
CAGUCGCCACGGUAAUACGUAGGGUGCAAGCGUUAAUCGGAAUUACUGGGCGUAAAGCGUGCGCAGGCGGUUUUGUAAGACAGAGGUGAAAUCCCCGGGCUCAACCUGGGAACUGCCUUUGUGACUGCAAGGCUGGAGUGCGGCAGAGGGGGAUGGAAUUCCGCGUGUAGCAGUGAAAUGCGUAGAUAUGCGGAGGAACACCGAUGGCGAAGGCAAUCCCCUGGGCCUGCACUGACGCUCAUGCACGAAAGCGUGGGGAGCAAACAGGAUUAGAGACCCCCGUAGUCCCUGUCUCUUAUAC